GAGAAAUAGACUUAUAACUCAUUUUAGUGCCAGGUUCUACAACGAACUUAUUUACAAUGAGUUGUAUUUCGAAUUUAGUUUUGACCUUUAAAAAUAUGUCCAGUGUUCUGUGGGAGUACAUUAACUCUUUGAAGAAACAAAAGCAUCCAAUUCAAACAAGAAAGAGAACUAUGCACUAGAGAUGAUCACUAUUGCAGAAUUCAUUAUGGAAUAUUUUUUAUUAUAAUUUAUUGUCAAAUUGGCUUACAUCCAACACCCAGUGCUCAGCCCAAAAAGUGCCCUACUCAAUGCCCAUCACCUGUUUUCCCUCUCCACCACUCCCCAUCCACCCUCAGUUUGUUCUUUGUGUUUAAGAGUCUCUUGUGGUUUGCCUCCCUCCUUCUCUGUUUGUAACUAUUUUGUUUCCCCUUCCCUUUUUCCCCCAUGGACUUCUGUUAAGGUUCUAAAGAUCGUUGUGGAAUAUUUAAAUGAAUUGUGUGUACACCGGAUAGGAACAUUGUGAAGAGUGGGUUUCGUCACUGAUCUUUUGAUGGUGUUUGGGUUUAAACCCCAGAUUCAUCAUUCUGUGUGUGUGAACUUGGGUGAGCAUUUACAUUUCUAAACUUAUAGCCUCAUUGUUAAUGAGAAUUAUAUAUGAUUAUUUUGCGGAUGUAAAUCCAUGCUCAGCACAUAGUAAAAACUUGAGAAAGAUCAACCAUAUAAAGCCAUGUUUCUCUUCUCCUUUGUUUUGUUUUCUGAGCCUCUUGAAGAAGGUUCUGGUAACAGUUUCAAUUGCAACUUGAGGUUUAUGAAGGAAAAGGCACGGCAAUGACUCCUUUUCUGUGUCCCACCAAGUCAAAGUUCACAACCGACUGGCAAAACAAUCUGUGUGUUGGUUUGCACUCUGAAGGUAUUAAUAACUUGGGAGAUUCCUGUCAAGUCUCCAGAUCCAGAAGUCUCUAGCUUCUUAGAAACACUAACUGGAAGAAAAUCCAAGAGAUCCACAAGAAUUACUUUGCUUGCUACUUGGGACAUUCGGAAGGCAUCAAUGAAAGCCAUGUCAACAUAUUGU